rnacentral:rRNA from 1 species
UAGGGAAUCUUCCACAAUGGACGCAAGUCUGAUGGAGCAACGCCGCGUGAGUGAAGAAGGCUUUCGGGUCGUAAAACUCUGUUAUUGAAGAAGAACGUGUGUGACAGUAACUGGUCAUGCAGUGACGGUAUUCAAUCAGAAAGUCACGGCUAACUACGUGCCAGCAGCCGCGGUAAUACGUAGGUGGCAAGCGUUGUCCGGAUUUAUUGGGCGUAAAGCGAGUGCAGGCGGUCUUUUAAGUCUGAUGUGAAAGCCUUCGGCUUAACCGAAGAAGGGCAUCGGAAACUGGGAGACUUGAGUGCAGAAGAGGAGAGUGGAACUCCAUGUGUAGCGGUGAAAUGCGUAGAUAUAUGGAAGAACACCAGUGGCGAAGGCGGCUCUCUGGUCUGUAACUGACGCUGAGGCUCGAAAGCGUGGGUAGCAAACAGGGUUAGAUACCCUGGUAGUCCACGCCGUAAA